rnacentral:rRNA from 1 species
UACAGAGGGUGCAAGCGUUAAUCGGAUUUACUGGGCGUAAAGCGUGAGUAGGUGGCUCGCUAAGUCGAUUGUGAAAGCCCUGGGCUCAACCUGGGAAUUGCAGUCGAUACUGGUGAGCUAGAGUUCGGUAGAGGGUGACGGAAUUCCCGGUGUAGCGGUGAAAUGCGUAGAUAUGGGGAGGAACACCGGUGGCGAAGGCGGCCACCUGGACGGUAACUGGCGCUGAGACGCGAAAGCGUGGGGAGCAAACAGG